GAAUAUGCCAAUAAGCUUGAGCAGGUAUUUUUCCUUGCAGAAGCUUUAGCUAAGCACAUGAUUGAAACAAAUCAGGCUAAACUGUUAAAAAGUGACCUGCCUUUUUUAAUUUUGCUUAGGCGAUUUUGGUUUAAAAUUUUACCAAUUAAUGGAAGCAAAGUUGGAACGUGCAUCUUUAAUGAUUGUAUUUAUGAUAUAAUCCAACUUCAAAAUGUCUUUUAACUACUGGAUUGGGUUAUAUGUGUGAAUGAACAUGACUAAUUUUGCGAGGUGAUCAUGUUCUAUUCCUGGUUUUGAUAAACUAUAAUACAUCUGAAUUCAAAACUUGUGUGGCAUGUCAUGCCUGAUGCCUAAGUCCCAAGAACGGGCUAGGAAAC
rnacentral:misc_RNA from 1 species